CCUACGGGGGGCAGCAGUGGGGAAUAUUGGACAAUGGGGGGAACCCUGAUCCAGCCAUGCCGCGUGUGUGAAGAAGGCCCUCGGGUUGUAAAUCACUUUCAGUGGGGAAGAACGCCUGGUGGUUAAUACCCAUCAGGAAAGACAUCACUCACAGAAGAAGCACCGGCUAACUCCGUGCCAGCAGCCGCGGUAAUACGGAGGGUGCGAGCGUUAAUCGGAAUUACUGGGCGUAAAGCGCGCGUAGGUGGCUUGAUAAGCCGGUUGUGAAAGCCCCGGGCUCAACCUGGGAACGGCAUCCGGAACUGUCAAGCUAGAGUGCAGGAGAGGAAGGUAGAAUUCCCGGUGUAGCGGUGAAAUGCGUAGAGAUCGGGAGGAAUACCAGUGGCGAAGGCGGCUUUCUGGACUGACACUGACACUGAGGUGCGAAAGCGUGGGUAGCAAACAGGAUUAGAUACCCGUGUAGUC
rnacentral:rRNA from 1 species